AAUAUUACAAAUUUUAUUGCAAUCAUGUUUGUAAAGUUCUUUUUAUUUUUUUGUACAUAUUGAUCGUUUCCAUCAUUAUUACUUUUUAUCCAUUUCCAUGUUAUGUUGCCAGUUUGAUAUAAAAAUAAAAUAUUUGAUUUUUUAAGAUUUAAGCCAGGCAAACCGUUAUGAUGAAACGGGGAUCGAUUUUAAGAAACAACCUAUGGAAGGUCACAGAUGCGGUAUAUGUCCAACAUAUUUUCACAAGUUAUGCGCAUUCGACUUUAAUAGUAACGACUCAUUCAU